AGAAAACUCCAGUAUCAAGACAGAGGAGGAAAGGGUCUGUAAACAGAAGCAAAGUAUCAUCACUAGUAGUCAGCAAAGAGAAGAGGUUGGUGUUCUAUUUCUUCCAUUGGGGGUUGCCAAAAGAUCAGCAUAACAUCCACCCGGCGUUUCAGCACGCCACUGCUGAGAGUGAUAGGGGACACUGGAGAGUGUCAGGGGCAGCGAGCAGCGUGUGCCUUGCAGCAGACAGCAGCUCCCCAACACCGUGCACCAACAGGGCCACAGGACAAUGCGUGGGCUGGAGAACUUUGCCUGCUGCUUGCCUACGAUUCUGGCUGAUGAAGCUGAAGUGUAUCUGCAUCCAGCUGCUUAUGCCCUUUGCCUGAAUGGAGGUGACACGCAGGGGACAAACAAAGCUUAGUUAAGUUAAGGAGCUAUGGGAAAGUAAAACCCCUCAAGGAUGGAGGGGGACAGCAGAAUUCAGCCAAAACCGUCACAUCUUGCUAUCAGCUGAGCAUUGUCCCGCAUUCUCGGCACUGAAACAGUGAAAUAUUAGGAACCUAAACUAUUAGAUUCAUCAAAGAAAAAUUGAAAGGAUUUUAUGCUUCAUUGCAAGCUGCAACACACAGCUCUGCUUGCAACUGCUCCUUAAGGGUGCCACAAGUCUGGGACUCACUGGGAAACUCUCCGUUCACUCACAAAUGGGUCUGCAACAUUUCACAGCUUUUAAGAGUGAAGUUUAUGAAUGCCAUAACUAAUAUUUUCAGCGUUCAUUCCUCUAGUGCAACGUAAGCCCUUGAGAAGUUCAGACCAGGAUCAGAGAAGCAAACACAUGCAUAGUAACUUGUCUGGAGGAAAAAAAAAAA